UACAGAGGUCUCAAGCGUUUGUUCGGGAUUCAUUGGGCGUAAAGGGUGCGUAGGCGGCGCGGUAAGUCGGGUGUGAAAAUCUCGGAGCUUAACUCCGAAACUGCAUUCGGAUACUGCCGUGCUUGAGGACUGGAGAGGAGACUGGAAUUUACGGUGUAGCGGUGAAAUGCGUAGAUAUCGUAAGGGAAGACCAGUGGCGAAAGGCGGGGUC
rnacentral:rRNA from 1 species